GACCCAUCCUGCAGCAGGAGUAAGGCAGUCCUGCGGUCCCAACACACAGAUGGCUGCAGCAAGAGGAUCAAGGGUUCCAGGCCAGCCUGGGCUACAUGAAUCCACCCGAAACUGAUAGGAGCACCCUCACUCCUAGCUGCAGCUAGCCAGUCCUCACUCCUGCCACUCACCG